GACGAACGCUGGCGGCGUGCUUAACACAUGCAAGUCGAACGGAAAGGCCCUGCUUUUGUGGGGUGCUCGAGUGGCGAACGGGUGAGUAACACGUGAGUAACCUGCCCUUGACUUUGGGAUAACUUCAGGAAACUGGGGCUAAUACCGGAUAUGAGCUCCUGCUGCAUGGUGGGGGUUGGAAAGUUUCGGCGGUUGGGGAUGGACUCGCGGCUUAUCAGCUUGUUGGUGGGGUAGUGGCUUACCAAGGCUUUGACGGGUAGCCGGCCUGAGAGGGUGACCGGCCACAAUGGGACUGAGAGACGGCCCAGACUCCUACCGGAGGCAGCAGGGGGGAAUAUUGCACAAUGGGCGGAAGCCUGAUGCAGCAACGCCGCGUGCGGGAUGACGGCCUUCGGGUUGUAAACCGCUUUCGCCUGUGACGAAGCGUGAGUGACGGUAAUGGGUAAAGAAGCACCGGCUAACUACGUG
rnacentral:rRNA from 1 species